CACGUAGGCAGCAAGCGUUGUUCGGAGUUACUGGGCGUAAAGGGUGCGUAGGCGGUUGUUUAAGUUUGGGGUGAAAUCUCCCGGCUCAACUGGGAGGGUGCGCCGAAUACUGAAUGACUAGAGUGCGGGAGAGGAUAGUGGAAUUCCUGGUGUAGCGGUGAAAUGCGUAGAUAUCAGGAGGAACACCGGUGGUGUAGACGGCUAUCUGGACCGUAACUGACGCUGAGGCACGAAAGCGUGGGUAGCAAACAGG
rnacentral:rRNA from 1 species